rnacentral:rRNA from 1 species
GACGAACGCUGGCGGCGCGCUUAACACAUGCAAGUCGAGCGAUGAAAUUGCGACAGAUCCCUUCGGGGGGGAGAGGAAAUGGAGUAGCGCCGAACGGGUGAGUAACACGUGAGUAACCAGCCUUUGACAACGGGAUAGCCUCGGGAAACUGGGAUUAAUACCAAAUGAUACUAUCUUAUCACAUGAUCAAUUAGUCAAAGAACUUCGGUCAACGCUGGACUGGCGGCUGGUUAGCUAGUUGGGGAGGUAACGGCCCACCAGAGCGACGAGCAGUAGCCUGCGUGGGUGGGUGGCCAGCCACGUUGGGACUGACACCCCGUACACACUCCUGCGGGAGGAAGCAGGAGGGUAUAUUGCAGGAUCGAGGGUACCCUGAUGCAGCGACGUGGGGUGAGCGAAGUAUUUCUGCAUGUCGUAAAGUUUUAGUAUGAGAGAAGAUAAUGACGGUACCAAAAGAAGAAGCCCCGGCUAACUACGUG